CCCUUAGAUGUUCUGGGCUGCACGCGCGCUACACUGAUGCGCUCAACGAGUUUUAACCUUGCCUGGAAAGGUUGGGUAAUCUUUUUAAAACGCAUCGUGAUGGGGAUAGAUUAUUGCAAUUAUUAAUCUUCAACGAGGAAUUCCUAGUAAGCGCGAGUCAUCAGCUCGUGCUGAUUACGUCCCUGCCCUUUGUACACACCGCCCGUCGUUCCUACCGAUUGAGUGAUCCGGUGAAUAAUUCGGACUGCGGCAUUGACCGGUUCCCGAUCGUUGCUGCGGAAAGUUUAGUGAACCUUAUCACUUAGAGGAAGGAGAAGUCGUAACA
rnacentral:rRNA from 1 species